rnacentral:lncRNA from 1 species
CUUUAAUAACCGCCACGUCGACAACGCAAGAUAACUGAGCUUCGCGCUGACGUCACGUGAUUAGCGACGUCGUUACUAACAGUUGUCUUCCCCACACUACAGACAGUGACAACCUAACGACGACGUCUGUCGAGAUCUUAAACAAAGCGGUCUACCAAUCACGAUGACUAAACAAAUACGGUUGUACCUAGCUGUCGUCUGCUUGCUGCUUUCCAUAAACCUGGAAGCCGGAUACAUCCACCACCACCGACACCGUCGGGCUGAACAACGACCAUGCAACGAGAUCGGCCAGUCAUGUGCAGCGUUACCUUGUUGCGGUUCAGAUGUUCAAUGCGACAAAAAUCAGAUCUGCCGGCACUAUGUCAGACGGAGGUAGAUGGACGGACCUUCUCAGAAUACAAACGGACUAAUGUCACCUGCUACCAAUGAGUAUUGGAUGCUGGAUGUACCCAACAGUAACAACAACAGGGUGCGUCUGCCUACUGUCCGAUUCUGUGAUGUCAACUAAUAAUAGGAAGUCAUCGCACGAGUAUAAGAUCACCGAGUUCAAAGGUGUCUCUAAAUUUAUUGUAUUUUCAUGCAUUUAAAGGUUUUCACUGUAUUUCUCGAUUGCUGUGUUUGUUCAAGAAAUUCAACAAUAAAAUAAAUUUCUACUAAAAGCAAA